rnacentral:rRNA from 1 species
UACGGGGGGAGCAAGCGUUGUUCGGAUUUAUUGGGCGUAAAGAGCGUGUAGGCGGCUGGGUAGGUCCGUUGUGAAAACUCGAGGCUCAACCUCGAGACGCCGAUGGAAACCCCCCAGCUAGAGUCCGGAAGAGGAGAGUGGAAUUCCUGGUGUAGCGGUGAAAUGCGCAGAUAUCAGGAGGAACACCGGUGGCGAAGGCGGGUCUCUGGGCCGAUAUCGACGCUGAGGAGCGAAAGCGUGGGGAGCGAACAGG